UACGUAGGGUGCAAGCGUUGUCCGGAAUUAUUGGGCGUAAAGAGCUCGUAGGCGGUCUGUCGCGUCGGAUGUGAAAACCCAGGGCUCAACCCUGGGCCUGCAUUCGAUACGGGCAGACUAGAGUUCGGUAGGGGAGACUGGAAUUCCUGGUGUAGCGGUGAAAUGCGCAGAUAUCAGGAGGAACGCCGGUGGCGAAGGCGGGUCUCUGGGCCGAAACUGACGCUGAGGAGCGAAAGCGUGGGGAGCAAACAGG
rnacentral:rRNA from 1 species